rnacentral:rRNA from 1 species
CCUACGGGUGGCAGCAGUGGGGAAUAUUGGACAAUGGGGGCAACCCUGAUCCAGCCAUGCCGCGUGUGUGAAGAAGGCCCUCGGGUUGUAAAGCACUUUUAGUGAGGAAGAACGCCUGGUGGUUAAUACCCAUCUGGAAAGACAUCACUCACAGAAGAAGCACCGGCUAACUCCGUGCCAGCAGCCGCGGUAAUACGGAGGGUGCGAGCGUUAAUCGGAAUUACUGGGCGUAAAGCGCGCGUAGGUGGCUUGAUAAGCCGGUUGUGAAAGCCCCGGGCUCAACCUGGGACCGGCAUCCGGAACUGUCAAGCUAGAGUGCAGGAGAGGAAGGUAGAAUUCCCGGUGUAGCGGUGAAAUGCGUAGAGAUCGGGAGGAAUACCAGUGGCGAAGGCGGCCUUCUGGACUGACACUGACGCUGAGGUGCGAAAGCGUGGGUAGCAAACAGGAUUAGAUACCCUUGUAGUC